rnacentral:rRNA from 1 species
AUUGAACGCUGGCGGCAUGCCUUACACAUGCAAGUCGAACGGUAACGCGGGGCGACCUGGCGACGAGUGGCGAACGGGUGAGUAAUACAUCGGAACGUGCCCAGUAGUGGGGGAUAGCCCGGCGAAAGCCGGAUUAAUACCGCAUACGACCUACGGGUGAAAGCGGGGGAUCGCAAGACCUCGCGCUAUUGGAGCGGCCGAUGUCAGAUUAGCUAGUUGGUGGGGUAAAAGCCUACCAAGGCGACGAUCUGUAGCUGGUCUGAGAGGACGACCAGCCACACUGGGACUGAGACACGGCCAAGACUCCGACGGGAGGCAGCAGUGGGGAAUUUUGGACAAUGGGGGCAACCCUGAUCCAGCCAUGCCGCGUGCGGGAAGAAGGCCUUCGGGUUGUAAACCGCUUUUGUCGGGGAAGAAACGGUCUGCGCUAAUACCGCGGACUAAUGACGGUACCCGAAGAAUAAGCACCGGCUAACUACGUGCCAGCAGCCGCCGUAAUAC